AGGAUUUUAAAACAGAAUGUUUGAGCUGAAAGAGAACUUAGAGAUUAUUUGGUUCAGCUCCCACCCCAAAAGAAGAAUGCCUAUGGUGGUGACCAGGGAAAGUCCCUGUGGCUUAGAUAGCCUAAAACUCAGAAUCCUUGUAAUUCUCAAUUAGAGCCACAGGGUAAUAGAUUGUCACAUACUUCGUGGAAGCAACGACCAUUGGUUCAUCAUGCCCUUCUCUGGCAAGGGGAGAGUCUGUCUUGCAAGGUGAGUAGAACCGGGACCUGAUCGAUGCAGCACAGCCCUGUGACUCAGUAUACGCUUGCGGGGGCCAAAGGAAACCUGACUUCAGACAGUGGGCUGUUUGUGGGUCCUGCCGGUAAAGAGCCACAGGUGGACCUCCUUAUAUGGAAGAUGGAGCAAGAAUCCAACAGCAAGAGAGCCUCCACUUUGGGAAAGGGAAGGAGAGAUAUUCUAAGGAGGAUCAGGAUUCUGAGGAAGGGGAGAUCCCCAAAGGAAAUGUGGGUUGGGAGGUUCUGGGGUGGUGGGCUGGCUGGAAAGGACUGACACAGACCUGGCUUCCCUGCACAUGUGCGCACUUGUGUGCGCAUGUGUGCGCGCACACAUACACACGCGCGCGCACACACACACACACACACACACACACACACACACACACACCAGCAUAUGGAAUAAUGCUGCCUUCCCCCACGGUUUCCAGGAGGCUCAGCAGGGG